GACGAACGCUGGCGGCGUGCUUAACACAUGCAAGUCGAACGGAAAGGCCCUGCUUUUGUGGGGUGCUCGAGUGGCGAACGGGUGAGUAACACGUGAGUAACCUGCCCUUGACUUUGGGAUAACUUCAGGAAACUGGGGCUAAUACCGGAUAGGAGCUCCUGCUGCAUGGUGGGGGUUGGAAAGUUUCGGCGGUUGGGGAUGGACUCGCGGCUUAUCAGCUUGUUGGUGGGGUAGUGGCUUACCAAGGCUUUGACGGGUAGCCGGCCUGAGGGGGUGACCGGCGACAUUGGGACUGAGAUACGGCCCAGACUCCUACGGGAGGCAGCAGUGGGGAAUAUUGCACAAUGGGCGGAAGCCUGAUGCAGCAACGCCGCGUGCGGGAUGACGGCCUUCGGGUUGUAAACCGCUGUCGCCUGUGACGAAGCGUGAGUGACGGUAAUGGGUAAAGAAGCACCGGCUAACUACGUG
rnacentral:rRNA from 1 species